UAGGGAAUCUUCCGCAAUGGACGCAAGUCUGACGGAGCAACGCCGCGUGAGUGAAGAAGGAUUUCGGUUCGUAAAACUCUGUUGUUAGAGAAGAACAGCGCAUAGAGUAACUGUUAUGCGUGUGACGGUAUCUAACCAGAAAGCCACGGCUAACUACGUGCCAGCAGCCGCGGUAAUACGUAGGUGGCAAGCGUUGUCCGGAUUUAUUGGGCGUAAAGCGAGCGCAGGCGGUUAGAAAAGUCUGAAGUGAAAGGCAGUGGCUCAACCAUUGUAGGCUUUGGAAACUGUUUAACUUGAGUGCAGAAGGGGAGGGUGGAAUUCCAUGUGUAGCGGUGAAAUGCGUAGAUAUAUGGAGGAACACCGGUGGCGAAAGCGGCUCUCUGGUCUGUAACUGACGCUGAGGCUCGAAAGCGUGGGGAGCGAACAGG
rnacentral:rRNA from 1 species